rnacentral:rRNA from 1 species
GACGAACGCUGGCGGCGUGCUUAACACAUGCAAGUCGAACGGACGGGCCCUGCUUUUGUGGGGUGCUCGAGUGGCGUACGGGUGAGUAACACGUAAGUAACCUGCCCUUGACUUUGGGAUAACUUCAGGAAACUGCGGCUAAUACCGGAUAGGAGCUCCUGCUGCAUGGUGGGGGUUGGAAAGUUUCGGCGGUUGGGGAUGGACUCGCGGCUUAUCAGCUUGUUGGUGGGGUAGUGGCUUACCAAGGCUUUGACGGGUAGCCGGCCUUGGAGGGUGACCGGCCACAUUGGGACUGAGAGACGGCCCAGACUCCUACGGGAGGCAGCAGUGGGGAAUAUUGCACAAUGGGCGGAAGCCUGAUGCAGCAACGCCGCGUGCGGGAUGACGGCCUUCGGGGUGUAAACCGCUUUCGCCGGUGACGAAGCGUGAGUGACGGUAAUGGGUAAAGAAGCACCGGCUAACUACGUG